CUCUCUAGUGACCGAUAGUGAACCAGUACCGUGAGGGAAAGGUGAAAAGUACCCCGGAAGGGGAGUGAAAUAGAACCUGAAACCGUGUGCUUACAAGUAGUCAGAGCCCGUUAAUGGGUGAUGGAGUGCCUUUUGUAGAAUGAACCGGCGAGUUACGAUUUGAUGCAAGGUUAAGCAGUAAAUGUGGAGCCGUAGCGAAAGCGAGUCUGAAUAGGGCGUUUAGUAUUUGGUCGUAGACCCGAAACCAGGUGAUCUACCCUUGGUCAGGUUGAAGUUCAGGUAACACUGAAUGGAGGACCGAACCGACUUACGUU
rnacentral:rRNA from 1 species